rnacentral:rRNA from 1 species
AUUGAACGCUGGCGGCAUGCCUUACACAUGCAAGUCGAACGGCAGCACGGGGCAACCUGGUGGCGAGUGGCGAACGGGUGAGUAAUACAUCGGAACGUGCCCAGUCGUGGGGGAUAACGUAGCGAAAGUUACGCUAAUACCCGCAUACGAUCUAUGGAUGAAAGCGGGGGAUCGCAAGACCUCGCGCGAUUGGAGCGGCCGAUGUCAGAUUAGGUAGUUGGUGGGGUAAAGGCCUACCAAGCCGACGAUCUGUAGCUGGUCUGAGAGGACGACCAGCCACACUGGGACUGAGACACGGCCCAGACUCCUACGGGAGGCAGCAGUGGGGAAUUUUGGACAAUGGGCGCAAGCCUGAUCCAGCCAUUCCGCGUGCAGGAUGAAGGCCUUCGGGUUGU